rnacentral:rRNA from 1 species
GAUGAACGCUGGCGGCGUGCCUAAUACAUGCAAGUCGAGCGAACAGAUGAGGAGCUUGCUCCUCUGACGUUAGCGGCGGACGGGUGAGUAACACGUGGAUAACCUACCUAUAAGACUGGGAUAACUUCGGGAAACCGGAGCUAAUACCGGAUAAUAUAUUGAACCGCAUGGUUCAAUAGUGAAAGACGGUUUUGCUGUCACUUAUAGAUGGAUCCGCGCCGCAUUAGCUAGUUGGUAAGGUAACGGCUUACCAAGGCGACGAUGCGUAGCCGACCUGAGAGGGUGAUCCGCCAAAACUGAACUGGGACAAGGUCCAGACUCCUACGGGAGGCAGCAGUAGGGAAUCUUCCGCAAUGGGCGAAAGCCUGACGGAGCAACGCCGCGUGAGUGAUGAAGGUCUUCGGAUCGUAAAACUCUGUUAUUAGGGAAGAAAAAAUGUGUAAGUAACUAUGCACGUCUUGACGGUACCUAAUCAGAAAGCCACGGCUAACUACGUG